rnacentral:lncRNA from 1 species
AAUUAAAAUACACUUUAUUUUAUUCAAUAUAUCACGUGUAACAUUUAUAUUCACUUUUCAUGAAAACUUAUGCUAUUAUUAGUGCUUACCCUUUUCUAUCAGCCUUUCAUUAUAAUUUUUAUAUUCAUUUGCAAUAUCAAAAUUCCCUCUUUUUUUUUUCUUUUCUAAGUACACCAAAAUUAUACUUCUUCUUCUCGAAUUUCUUUUCAUUUUCUCCUUUCUUGUUUAUUUAAAAUUUAUGCUAUUAAUAA